rnacentral:rRNA from 1 species
AUUUACAGCCUUGCCACCCCUGAACACACCUAAUCUCGGAAAAACAGCAGGACUGAGUCUGGAUUUUUCUUGGAUGGGAGUCUGCCUGGAACUACCUGGUGCUGUGAGUU